CUUGUUUUUAUUUCAGAAAUGAUUUGCCCCUGUGGGCUCAUUUAUAGAUACAUUCUUCAACUUGUGUAUUCUUUCUAUUUUCCAGUGCUGUUGAAGAGGAGUUGCUGGCCCCGCAGGCCUCUCUCUCUGUGCGCAUAAUAAGGACAUAUCACCUAACUGGGCUCUGGCUCACUUAACAGCUUCUUUGUCUUUGGACUUCCACAUCGUGAUGUCACCGAGCAGCAGCCUUUUCCAGGAAGCUGUUAAGGAGGUGGGAAAUCCAUGCUUGCUGAUUUUUCCCAAAUAAGAGGCAGGCGGGGAGCCAGUUGCAGUCAAGUCUUGCCAGCAACGUUUGUCUUAAGAACGCAUAGGAAAAGAAAUAAAGAGGAAUAUAUCCAGAAGAACCUGCCUAUGGAGGAGCAGAUGGAAUAAUCUAUCCAGAAACUACAAGGUCAUUACCAGCCCAUAAACGGAAGACAUGAAAUGACAAAUGGUACAAUGCUCUAUGUUUGUCCCUAUAUAGUCAGAAUUAAGGCCAGUGGGAUAUUACAGUUCUUCCCUCAUUACUGCCUGGAAGGCUCUGCUGCAACCUAUCUUGCAAAAAUGACACUGUAAUCUUUCCCCACUGUAGCUCCCAUUUCCGUACACAUAUUGCUCAUCACCUCUCAGACCCUUUCUGCAUGGGCUCCAAACCAAAGAUAUUAACAUCUCUGACAAAUGGGAAAGAAGUUAUUCAGUAUACAACCAAAUGGUUGAGACUUUUUCAUUGCAAGGGAAACUUUUCUAUAUGAGCUCAUGUUGAGAGUUUUUCAUAAAAAGUAUCUUAAGCCACAUUUGAGUUAAAAGUGGUUACUGAAGUGUUGUCUUUUUAAUUAACUUUCAAAAAAUGUAUGUACAGUAUAGGAUUGUUUUAUAUUACAGAAAUUGGGUGAGACCUAUAGACAAUCCAGAAAUAACACAAGGAAGAAAAUACAAUUUCUUUAAUUCCAACAUUAAGCAGUCACUAUUGUUAAUAUGUUAAAUUACAUCCUAUUUUUAUCUUGUCCCCAU
rnacentral:lncRNA from 13 species